rnacentral:rRNA from 1 species
UGCAGUCGAACGAGAGGAUGAGGAAGCUUGCUUCUUCAGAAUCGAGUGGCAAACGGGUGAGUAACGCGUAAACAACCUGCCCCCCGGGAUGGGGACAACAGCUGGAAACGGCUGCUAAUACCGAAUACGAUCAUACUGCCGCAUGGCAGCAUGAUGAAAGGAUGGCCUCUUAAAAAAGCUAUCGCACGGGGAGGGGUUUGCGUCUGAUUAGCUGGUUGGAGGGGUAACGGCCCACCAAGGCGAUGAUCAGUAGCCGGUCUGAGAGGACGAACGGCCACAUUGGAACUGAGACACGGUCCAGACUCCUACGGGAGGCAGCAGUGGGGAAUCUUCCGCAAUGGGCGAAAGCCUGACGGAGCAACGCCGCGUGAGUGAAGACGGCCUUCGGGUUGUAAAGCUCUGUUAUAUGGGACGAACGGCUGUGGGGCCAAUACCCCCGCAGCGUGACGGUACUGUAAGAGAAAGCCACGGCUAACUACGUGCCAGCAGCCGCGGUAAUACGUAGGUGGCAAGCGUUGUCCGGAAUUAUUGGGCGUAAAGGGCGUGCAGGCGGCUGAUCAAGUCUGUCUUAAAAGUGCGGGGCUUAACCCCGUGAUGGGACGGAAACUGAUUGGCUAGAGUGUCGGAGA